GUCUUUUUGAAUUUAAUUUAAAGUCUAACCUGCCCAUUGAAUAAAUUUAAAAGGCUGCGGUAUUUUGACCGUACAAAGGUAGCAUAAUCAUUAGUUUUUUAAUUGGGAACUAGAAUGAAUGGUUGAAUGAAAUAUUAACUUUUUUAAUUAAAAAUAUUGAAUUUUACGUUUUAAUUAAAAGGUUAAAAUGAAUUUAAAAGACGAGAAGACCCUAUAGAGUUUUAUAAUUUAUUUUUAUAUUUUUUAACAAGAUUAAUAAAAAUUAAAUAAAAAGAAUUAUUUUGUUGGGGUGAUAAUAAAAUUUAAUAAACUUUUAUUAAUUUUUACAUUAAUAAAUGAAUAAUUGAUCCAUUAUUAAUGAUUAAAAAUUUAAAUUACCUUAGGGAUAACAGCGUAAUUUUUUUUUAAGUUCAUAUUAAUAAAAAAUUUUGCGACCUCGAUGUUGGAUUAAGAUUUAAUUUUAGGUGCAGCAGUUUAAAAUUUAAGUCUGUUCGACUUUUAAAUUCUU
rnacentral:rRNA from 1 species